GUGGCAGACGGGUGAGUAACACGUGAACAACCUACCCUCGAGUGGGGAAUAACACCGCGAAAGCGGUGCUAAUACCGCAUAACAUCCCAGGAUCGCAUGGUUCGGGGAUCAAGGGCGAAAGUCGCUCGGGGAGGGGUUCGCGGCUGAUUAGCUAGUUGGUGAGGUAACGGCCCACCAAGGCAACGAUCAGUAGCCGGCCUGGGAGGGCGUACGGCCACACUGGAACUGGGACACGGUCCAGACUCCUACGGGAGGCAGCAGUGGGGAAUUUUGCGCAAUGGGCGAAAGCCUGACGCAGCAACGCCGCGUGGAGGAUGAAGGUCUUCGGAUCGUAAACUCCUGUCAGUGGGGAAGAAAGUUCCGCAAGGGGCCUGACUGUACCCGCUGAGGAAGCCACGGCCAACUCCGUGCCAGCAGCCGCGGUAAUACGGAGGUGGCAAGCGUUGUUCGGAAUUACUGGGCGUAAAGGGCGCGUAGGCGGCAUGGUAAGUCGGAUGUGAAAUCCCCGGGCUUAACUCGGGAACUGCAUCCGAAACUGCUUUGCUUGAGUCCUGGAGGGGGUAGUGGAAUUCCCAGUGUAGCGGUGAAAUGCGUAGAUAUUGGGAGGAACACCGGUGGCGAAGGCGGCUACCUGGACAGUGACUGACGCUGAGGCGCGAAAGCUAGGGGAGCGAACGGGAUUAGAUACCCCGGUAGUCCUAGCCGUAAACGAUGGGCACUUGGUGUUGGGGGUAUUGAGUCCCUCGGUGCCGGAGUUAACACGUUAAGUGCCCCGCCUGGGGAGUACGGUCGCGAGACUGAAACUCAAAGGAAUUGACGGGGGCCCGCACAAGCGGUGGAGCAUGUGGUUCAAUUCGACGCAACGCGAAGAACCUUACCGGGGCUCGAACGGUAGUUGCUACUCCUGGAAACAGGGGAUUCUCUUCGGAGACGGCUAUCGAGGUGCUGCAUGGCUGUCGUCAGCUCGUGUCGUGAGAUGUUGGGUUAAGUCCCGCAACGAGCGCAACCCUUGCCCUUAGUUGCCAUCAGGUAAAGCCGGGCACCCUAAGGGUACUGUCGGCGAAAAGCCGGAGGAAGGUGGGGAUGACGUCAAGUCCUCAUGGCCCUUAAGUCCCGGGCUACACACGUGCUACAAUGGUCGGAACAAAGGGUCGCCAACCCGCGAGGGGGAGCUAAUCCCAAAAAAACCGAUCUCAGUUCGGAUUGCAGUCUGCAACUCGACUGCAUGAAGUUGGAAUCGCUAGUAAUCGCAGAUCAGCACGCUGCGGUGAAUACGUUCCCGGGCCUUGUACACACCGCCCGUCACAUCACGAAAGUGGGUUGUACUAGAAAUCGCUGGGCUGACCCGCAAGGGGGGCAGGCGCUUAAGGUAUGAUCCAUGAUAGGGGUGAAGUCGUAACAAGGUA
rnacentral:rRNA from 1 species